GAUCUGGUUCAGGAUGAACGCUAGCUACAGGCUUAACACAUGCAAGUCGAGGGGCAGCAUGAUCUAGCUUGCUAAGAUGAUGGCGACCGGCGCACGGGUGAGUAACGCGUAUCCAACCUUCCCUGUACUAGGGGAUAGCCCGGCGAAAGUCGGAUUAAUACCCUAUGUUUUCCGAAGCGAGCAUUUAAUUUGGAACAAAGGUUUACCGGUAUAGGAUGGGGAUGCGUCUGAUUAGAUAGUAGGCGGGGUAACGGCCCACCUAGUCGACGAUCAGUAGGGGUUCUGAGAGGAAGGUCCCCCACAUUGGAACUGAGACACGGUCCAAACUCCUACGGGAGGCAGCAGUGAGGAAUAUUGGUCAAUGGGCGAGAGCCUGAACCAGCCAAGUAGCGUGCCAGGAUGACGGCCCUAUGGGUUGUAAACUGCUUUUAUAUAGGGAUAAAGUGAGGGACGUGUCCCUUAUUGUAGGUACUAUAUGAAUAAGGACCGGCUAAUUCCGUGCCAGCCGCAGC
rnacentral:rRNA from 1 species